UGGGGGAUAUUGCACAAUGGGCGAAAGCCUGAUGCAGCGACGCCGCGUGGGGGAUGAAGGCCUUCGGGUUGUAAACUUCUUUUGCUCUGAACAAGGCAUGCCUUUGGGGUGUGUUGAGUGUAGGGGUUGAUUAGCGCCGGCUAACUACGUGCCAGCAGCCGCGGUAAUACGUAGGGCGCGAGCGUUGUCCGGAAUUAUUGGGCGUAAAGGGCUUGUAGGUGGCUGGUUGCGUCUGUCGUGAAAGCUCAUGGCUUAACUGUGGGGUUGCGGUGGGUACGGGCUGGCUGGAGUGCAGUAGGGGAGGCUGGAAUUCCGGGUGUAGCGGUGGAAUGCGCAGAUAUCAGGAGGAAUACCGGUGGCGAAGGCGGGUCUCUGGGCUGUUACUGACGCUGAGGGGCGAAAGCGUGGGGAGCGAACAGG
rnacentral:rRNA from 1 species